rnacentral:tmRNA from 1 species
AGCAUAAAUAUUAUAAUUGUCAUUGUCACCGCAAGGUGAAGAUGAUUCUGAAAUCUUUGUGGAAUAGUCGUUUUGGACCCGGGGGCGGUACCCGGCACCUCCACCAAUAAAAAUCACGGGGGUGUAUCAGUUUCGACAGACGCAAUAAAGACAAAAGGCUGAAUCCGACAUGGUCGUCGUUAAAUACCAAUAAAAACAUGAAUGGCGAUAGAAUCGCUGCGAACGACAAUGUUCGCCUUGCAAUGGCUGCCUAAUAUGGCGUUGGAUGUGGUUGGCAAUUGUUAGCCCGUCCGUUUUAGCUUUUGCGGGGCCCGCCGGGUGCCUGGCACCAGAAACC